rnacentral:rRNA from 1 species
UACGUAGGGGGCAAGCGUUGUCCGGAAUCAUUGGGCGUAAAGCGCGUGUAGGCGGCCAGUUAAGUCCGUUCUGAAAGCCCGGGGCUCAACCCCGGGAGGCGGAUGGAUACUGUUUGGCUCGAGUCCGGAAGAGGCGAGUGGAAUUCCCGGUGUAGCGGUGAAAUGCGCAGAUAUCGGGAGGAACACCAAUGGCGAAGGCAGCUCGCUGGGACGGUACUGACGCUGAGGAGCGAAAGCCAGGGGAGCAAACGGG